rnacentral:rRNA from 1 species
UACAGAGGGUGCAAGCGUUGUUCGGAAUUACUGGGCGUAAAGCGCGCGUAGGUGGUUUGUUAAGUUGGAUGUGAAAGCCCCGGGCUCAACCUGGGAACUGCAUCCAAAACUGGCAAGCUAGAGUACGGUAGAGGGUGGUGGAAUUUCCUGUGUAGCGGUGAAAUGCGUAGAUAUAGGAAGGAACACCAGUGGCGAAGGCGACCACCUGGACUGAUACUGACACUGAGGUGCGAAAGCGUGGGGAGCAAACAGG